rnacentral:rRNA from 1 species
GACGAACGCUGGCGGCGUGCUUAACACAUGCAAGUUGAACGGUAUGACAUGGAAGCUUGCUGAAGUGUCAUAUAGUAGCGGACGGGUGAGUAAUGCAUGAGAAGCUGCCAUUGGGAGGGGGACAACAGUUGGAAACGGCUGCUAAUACCCCGUAUGCCGGAAGGUGAAAGGGAGUAAUCCGCCCGAUGAGGUGCUCAUGUCCUAUCAGCUGGUUGGUGGGGUAACGGCCUACCAAGGCGACGACGGGUAGCCGGCCUGAGAGGGUGAACGGCCACACUGGAACUGAGAUACGGUCCAGACUCCUACGGGAGGCAGCAGUGGGGAAUAUUGGGCAAUGGGGGCAACCCUGACCCAGCGACGCCGCGUGGGGGAAGACGGCCUUCGGGUUGUAAACCUCUUUUGUACGGGAAGAACGAGUGACGGUACUGUACGAAUAAGUCCCGGCUAACUACGUGCCAGCAGCCGCGGUAAUACGUAGGGGACGAGCGUUGUCCGGAAUUACUGGGCGUAAAGGGCGCGCAGGCUGUGCUGCAAGUCAGCUGUUAAAUGUCUGGGCUUAACCCGGGCAUGCGGUUGAGACUGCAGUGCUGGAGUGCUGUAGAGGCAAGUGGAAUUCCCAGUGUAGCGGUGAAAUGCGUUGAUAUUGGGAAGAACACCGGUGGCCGAAGGCGACUUGCUGGGCAGCAACUGACGUUGAGGCGCGAAAGCCAGGGGAGCACACGGGAUUAGAUACCCCGGUAGUCCUGGCCGUAAACGAUGAAUGCUAGGUGUGGGUGUAGAGAUACAUUCGUGCCGGAGUUUACGCGAUAAGCAUUCCGCCUGGGGAGUACGGUCGCAAGAUUGAAACUCAAAGGAAUUGACGGGGGCCCGCACAAGCGGUGGAGCACGUGGUUUAAUUCGAUGCAAA